rnacentral:piRNA from 1 species
UGUGCUGAUCUGAAAACNGGAACUUGCCAC